CAGUAGCCGCGGUAACACGAAGGUCCCGAGCGUUGUUCGGAAUCACUGGGCGUAAAGGGAGCGUAGGCGGCGUGGUAAGUCAGAUGUGAAAUCCCGGGGCUCAACCCCGGAACUGCAUCCGAUACUGCCAUGCUAGAGGAUUGGAGAGGUAGCUGGAAUUCUUGGUGUAGCAGUGAAAUGCGUGGAGAUCAAGAGGAACACUCGUGGCGAAAGCGAGCUACUGGACAAUAACUGACGCUGGGGCUCGAAGGCCAGGGUAGCGAAAGGGAUUAGAUACCCCGGUAGUCCCUGUCUCUUAUAC
rnacentral:rRNA from 1 species